AGGGGAGUAGCUCAGCUUGGUAGAGCAGCGGUCUCCAAAACCGCGGGUCGCAGGUUCGAUCCCUGUCUCCCCUG
rnacentral:tRNA from 1 species